GACGAGUGCAACGAUUUCAUCUGAGAUUCACUGAAGGCAUUGUCAAAGACGACAAGCAACAUCAUCGAUGUUGCCCCGCUCCGCUGGCUGAUCUACUGCACAUUAUCCAAUAUUUGGAGGCACAGCCAGAUUUGUCAAGCUGUACAAGCCUGUUGUGGGUGGUGUGUUUUCUAAACUUCGAAGCUGGAUCUGGGAAAUCGAAUUAGAACUCGAUUUAUCAGCCAUUUCCUGAGAGGAUGUUGUCCCAUCAUUAAAAAAUAUGGACUGAUUUCUGUGACUGUGUGUGUUAAAUGUUUGAGAUAUUUCUCUACCUCUGGUAAAUUCUUUUCCCAACAUUGAUGAUCUUCUCUUGACAAUUUUUUGACAAAUUUAUUCACCUCUUGAAUAUAUCUCUCAGAUGGGUUUGAAUCUGGAUAUCUUAUACUGGUGACUUUCCCAGUCUGUGGAAUAUAUUAGGAUGUCAAUAUGAUGAAGAAUAAAUUCAUUGUAUUUAUCUAAAAUUGUAUGGAUUGUCCUAACUAAAGCUGAAGAAGAACUCUGCAAACUAUAUGGAACUACUCUGAAUCUAAACAAGACUCCAUCUAUUGAAAAUGCUAUAUAAACCCUACUGUCUUUGUGAAGUGGAAUUAACCAAAAACUAUGUUUUGAAUCUAUUUUAGAAAAUAUUUUUGCAUUUGUGAUGUUUCCGAAAAUCGCAUCAAUAUUCAAAGGUGCCUCAUAUUGAGGUGUGUUGUAUUUAUCAUUAUUUCUAGCAUCCAAACAUAAUCUUAAUUCACCAUUAUUUUCGUUCAACUAUAAUAAGAUUAAUGUAUUUUGAAUUGAAUCUUUCAAUUAUUUUCUGUUUUAUCAUUUUUGUUAUUUCUUGUUGAACUUGAUUUCGAUAUUGAUAAGGAGUAGGGUUUGUUUCAGAUUUGAAAUUUUCUAUUCCUUUAACCUCUAUUUUAUGAACGUAUUCGUCUGUUACUCUAUUCUCAUUAUUAAUUAAAUUUACUUGAAUUUAUUUACUUGAUUUAUAAUAUUAUUAUUCAUUUCUGAAGUAAGUUUUUUCAAUUUCUAUAAAUUACCUAGGAUGUUGGUGAAUUUCUGCAUAUUGUAUUUUGUUAAAAUUUGUUGUUGGUAGAUUGCUUACUGAAAAUUUCGUGGAUUAUUUGAAGUUUCCCCCUAAUUGUGUGUCUGUUGUGUAUCUGUCCUAUUAUCAUUUUGUAAAUGUAAAUGUAAAUUCCACAUUAAAUGACAAUCGAUGAAGACGCCCAAAUAUUUGAUUCUUUCUACUGAUUGAAUUUUGAUGGGUAGACCUUGAAUGUUGACCUCAAAAUUGUUGAAGGGAACGUGUCUUGAUUUGUUGCACGUGAAUGUCAUGUAAUUCGUUUUUUCUAAAUUUACUGUGAGGAGUUUGUUUCUAACCAGGUUUUAAUACGACUAAAACCUUUUUCUGCUUUUUCCUUAAGAGAAAUCCAGCUCUCGUCUUCAUAUAAUAUAACUGCCUCAUCAGCAAAUCUUAUUAAAUCCCCACCACUCUC